AUGGUUCUCUUGCUAUAAAAUAGUCAAGAGUGCCUUACAUUUAUUGGUGCGUGUGUUUGCUGUAAAGUGGUAUAUUGAAUCAAGUGCACUUCAAUGGACAUGCAGACCGCCAUCUGCAAUUGCCACGACACUGUCAACAUCCCAUAUGUGUAUUAUCUUAUUAAUAUAUUGUUUUCAUUAUUAGGGGGGCAAGCACCACAGGUGCAGGAGCCACUCUUGUUUUAGUUUUAGUUUUAUUUGUUAACUUUUCCUGCCAAUGCAACUUAAAUUCAUGCAUAGCAAAACUCACUGAACUUUGCGCAUCUGUAGAGCACUUAGUAAAGGCCCUUGGGCUGCUGGCAGCUCGUCAUGUUAAAGUACUGCUCCAAUGCAUGGAUAGGCCCCAUUGUCUGGUAUUGUCUGGGCCAUGCUAGCAUCGUCCAGGAUGACAAUGCCUCAUUGUGCACCCGCAACCCCAGCUGGUUGGUCAUUCGCUCUCACUUUCAGCUGCGCGAUGUGUCUUCCUCCAAUGGUAUAUUUGCUUAGACGUAUUUUUGAAUUUUGUGUAGAACACCAACUUCACAAUUUCACUGAUCUGGGCAGCAUGUUCGUUAGCCUUUACCUACCUUACUUGAAAAAUGGACCAGAUCUAUUGUGAAUGCAGUUACUGAGAAAAUUAAGUGCAAUGAAAUUAAGCUAUUUUGCAUUUGUGAUUAUCUGGUCACUCAAGUGUCAUGAUGGAAGCAUUGCAAGAUAAAUGAAAUGCAUUUGCCAUCAAGCCUUUAGGUUUUCAUCAUAUGCUUUCAACACACAACUUGUGUUAUCCAAGACACUUGCUGCUACUGCAACCCACUCAAUAUGAACAUUGCCAAUAAAGGGUAAUUAUCUGUUUCGUAGUAGCUGUGUUUGCCCCAGCAGAGGGCACUAGUGGCGCAUUAUGGAAAAGUACUGGGGUUAGACUUACUUGAACAGAACAACAAAAGUCACUGCAAAGCAGCUUUUCCACUGCAUGGUACCGGCUCGACUUGACUUGACUCUACUCUACUCUACUUGCUUUUGGUACCAGGUAUUUUGUUUUCCACUGCAGAUAGUACCCCCGUCAAUGUAGCUGGUCGUCAUAGCGAUGCCGCAUGAAAACGAUUCUCUCUGACCAUUCAGUAGUCUGGAGUGUUUUCACGUCAUCUUUUGGUAUUGCUUCAGCUCAUUUGGAACCUUGACGGAGGUGAUACCAAAAAAAAACUAGUUUAAAAUAUUAACUUUCAGUUCUGUUAAAAGAUUUACAAGAACACAACUAAGUUUAUCAUUGGUUUAACAUCUGCAUUUGCAUGCUGCGGAUUCCUUUUUGUGUUGUUUUAAUAGAACUUUGGCCGAGCCAGUGGACGAUUCACCACCCAUGAACAGUGAACUAGUGCUACAGAGGAGAAGACGGAUCAGCACUGCAUCCCAUCUCUACUAAACUACAAAUAAGCUUAGAGAUCUCCACCAUAAUACUAAGAAAAAUCAUACCAUCCGGGUAGAUGGACAUUGGACACUAUUUUAUUUUGAAACUUAUUAUAGAAGCAGAGCUCUGAUAUUUUUGUUUUGUUUGGAUUAUCCAAUUGUUUUGACUAUAUAGCUUUGUAUAUUUGCAGAUUUAAAU